rnacentral:lncRNA from 10 species
GAAAAAGAAAACCAACAAGGAAGAGGGUAAAUGUUCAAGAAACUCUUCUCCAAAUCCAAAUUCCACUUGGAUUCCACUUCGGGAGGAAAGUCCAUGUGAAGACACAGUGAGAAGGCAAGAAGGCAUCCAUCUGCAAGUCAGGAAAAGAGCCCUCAUCAGAAACCAAAUGUUGUGAGAACUUGAUCUUGGACUUCCCAGCCUCCAGAACUGUGAGAAAAUUAAUUUAUGUUGUCUAAGCCACACAGUCUGUAGUAUACUGUUAUGGCAGCCUGAGCAGAUUAUGACAGAUGUCAAAGAGAACUUCAGCCUUAGCUGAUAUGUUAGCUGUAAUCUUUUAAUGUUUUAGAAUGAGAGUGUAUGUAUGUAUUACUCAUGUGACUAAAACAUUAACUUUUUAAAGUCAACUUUGUCUUCCCUCUUGCCCCAUAACCAUGCUUUUCCCCUUUAUCUUCCUUUGAACAAUAUUAAUUAAGGCCUGUUGCAGACAUAUGCAUUCUGAGCCUUCCAACAAAAUUUUUCAAAAAGACCUCUCUUCAGGUCAGAGUCCCUGAAAAUAAAUCUUCUCACCACAGAACUCAGGGGUGUGUUUAUUUAUUUUUGUUUAAUAAAAUAUUUAUUGAACUUUUAUUGAAGUUCAAUUAACUUUAUUUAUUAUAAAACAAUAUUAUACUGAUAUUGUCAGAAAUUUAAAGACAAGACAAUAUCCUCAUCACCCCUGCACUGGAAACACUGACCUGAUUUCUAUUUUUAGGUGUUACUUUCUGGGCUAUCUAUACGCUUAGCUUUUUUUUGGUAGUCAUCAAAUGGUUUACAUAAUUUUGUACAUAACUUUUUUCACUUAGCAUAAAACCUUUAUAGUUGCCAUUUUAAUGGCUACUUAACAUUUUAUUCAGUUUUAAUUGACUUAUCUAUUCCCCAGUGGUCGACAUCUAGGCCAUUUGCAACUUGUUAUUAUAGAUAAUGUUGAAUAAACAUUUUCAUAUACAUGAAUUUUAAAAUUUGAGUUAUUUCCCUAAAAUGAGUUCUCAGGGGUAUUACUAAACCACACGAUACAAGCAGAUUUUAUGACUAUUGAUCAAAAUUACUCAAUAGAGUUCCAAAGCCUCAUGCCAAUUGAUGAUGCCACCAGCAGUGUGCAAAUAUACUCCAUUUUCAGCAUGGGUAAUACAAUGUCAAAGUUUUUGCCGAUGUAAAAACUUCAGAGGG